UGGUAGACGCCGGAUUUAUUCCGGAUGAACCUUCCCGUGCUUUUUAGAACAAGAUUGGCCAGUCAGGCCGGUCGAAACACAUACGCUGUGAGAUGUGCCUUCGGGUACACCGCAGUAUGGCGGAUUACCGCCGUCCACGUUUCUCUUUCUCACAAAGACAAGGACCACGCUUUGGCGUGUCUGUCCUGGCCGGGCUUUUGGCUUGGCCGGAUGGAUGCGACAGUGUUGUUCAAUCCUUAUGGGCCCGUAGCUCAGUCGGUUAGAGCACACGCUUGAUAAGCGUGGGGUCGGUAGUUCGAGUCUACCCGGGCCCACCAUUGUUCAGGGAUUAGCCAGUAGGAAUUAGGCAGUAGUUGCGAUGCUUUGGUGCGUCCCGAUUGGCUGCUGACUCUGGUUUGCUCCCUCCCUUAAUUGGGGCUGUAGCUCAGCUGGGAGAGCACCUGCUUUGCAAGCAGGGGGUCAGCGGUUCGAUCCCGCUCAGCUCCACCAUUAUCUGGUGUUGAACUGAGGGACGAAGCCUUUGGCUUCGCAAGGCCGGAGGGCCGUCGCCAAUCGUUUGGCGCGCCCGUGCAGGCUCAGCCCGAAGGGCGGUCCGAGCCGUGAACGAACCUUGUCUUUUGAGAAAAAUAAAGUUUGCAUCGGCCUUCUGGGUUUGAUGCCUGUUCUGAUUACAUUGUGAAGAGAAGAUAUGUCUGGAAGCUUCCAGGUGUUGAGGAUGGUGACCGUAAGGUUGCUGUUUUUGACGUCCGAGCCCAGUCCUGUUCAAGCUGCGUGAGGGUCUAGCCGAUCCUGAAGCAGACCAGGGGCUGGAGGUAGGAAGGGCAGCUUGUUACUCAAGACAUGUGUGUUGUUGUGCAAGGAUUGGUAGACCGGUAGGUCGCCGCCAAUCGUUUGGCGCCCCCGCGGAGCGAGGACCGAAAGGUCCGGACAAGCGUGAGCGAAGCAAUGACGGCAUGUUGAUGGGCGUUGCCUGACCGCGCGCUCCCGGACAGAUCUCGAGAAGCUGGUCUUAAGACCUGACCCUGAAGUGCACCGGCGUGCCUUCGUAUAGGGAUCAGGUCGAACACGUCGAUGGCAUCUGAUAGACGCGGUUGUAAAAGGUAACCGCGGUUUGUUCUUCCCUUUAUCGUUGGGGACGGACAGUCCAUAUAUCGGCAAACUCAGGUUUGCCCGUAUGGCCAGGUUUUGCACCCCUUCGAGCGCAAGCGAGGAGGAUAGGUUUGCAAAACCAAACUAAAGAUGAGCAUUGGCAAUGAGAACGAUCAAGUGAAAGAAGGGCAUUUGGUGGAUGCCUUGGCAUGCACAGGCGAUGAAGGACGUGAUACGCUGCGAUAAGCCGUGGGGAGCUGCGAAUA
rnacentral:misc_RNA from 1 species